AAAAAAAUGCCUCUGACCUUAGUGAGGAAGAAGUCCCUUCUGGGAUUUCUGUAGUGUCACCUCGAAAGCUUCCAUGCCUGGCAAGGUGAAGCAGCUGGGCAGCAUUGCAGUGGUGUUAGCCAGUACAGGUGUCUGAAAGUUUCUACAGCCAAAACCUGGUAGCAAUAACUCUCUUGGACACUGGCUUGCAAAGAGGUGGGAAGAGAGGGGGAUGUCUGUCUGCGGGAUGUCUGUCUUCUCCAUGCAAGGUGGUGACAUGGCGGUGGUGCACACCUGGACCUGGAAGGCAGGAGGUGCUCCUCAUGCCCACAGGCUCUGAGCACAUAGACGGAAAAGGUGCGUUGUAAAGGCAUGCUGUUGGACACCAGGAAGCUCCACCCUCUAGUGUGCACCUCCGAUAUAUAGGCAGCAUUUCUUCUUCUUCUUCCUUCUUUUUUUUUUUUUUNCUUUUUUUUUUUUUUUUUCUUUUCUAUUUUCAGCAGUAAUAUGUCUCCGGGUACUUGUGUCGUAUCCUGAAACAU
rnacentral:lncRNA from 1 species